rnacentral:rRNA from 1 species
UACGUAGGGUGCGAGCGUUGUCCGGAAUUACUGGGCGUAAAGAGCUCGUAGGCGGUUUGUCGCGUCGUCUGUGAAAUUCUGCAACUCAAUUGUAGGCGUGCAGGCGAUACGGGCAGACUUGAGUACUACAGGGGAGACUGGAAUUCCUGGUGUAGCGGUGAAAUGCGCAGAUAUCAGGAGGAACACCGGUGGCGAAGGCGGGUCUCUGGGUAGUAACUGACGCUGAGACACGAAAGCGUGGGUAGCAAACAGG